rnacentral:rRNA from 1 species
CCUACGGGAGGCUGCAGUGGGGAAUAUUGCACAAUGGGGGAAACCCUGAUGCAGCGACGCCGCGUGAGUGAAGAAGUAUUUCGGUAUGUAAAGCUCUAUCAGCAGGGAAGCAAUAAAGUCCUUCGGACUUUGGACGGUACCUGACUAAGAAGACCCAGCUAACUACGUGCCAGCAGCCGCGGUAAUACGUAGGGGGCAAGGGUUAUCCGGAUUUACUGGGUGUAAAGGGAGCGUAGACGGCAGCGCAAGUCUGGAGUGAAAUCCCAGGGCUUAACCAUGGAACUGCUUUGGAAACUGUGCAGCUGGAGUGCAGGAGAGGUAAGCGGAAUUCCUAGUGUAGCGGUGAAAUGCGUAGAUAUUAGGAGGAACACCAGGGGCGAAGGCGGCUUACUGGACUGUAACUGACGUUGAGGCUCGAAAGCGUGGGGAGCGAACAGGAUUAGAUACCCGAGUAGUC